AGGAGAUUCGGGAGUGAAGCAUCUUUCUUCUCUUCUGGAGGAUCCCAACUGUAAACUGGAGAAACUACACCUGUCAUACUGCAGUAUUGGAGAGGAAGGCUUCAGUGCUCUCGUAUCAGCUCUGCGGUCAAACCCCUCACACAUGAGAGAGCUGCAGCUGAGUGGGAAUAAAGCAGGAGACUCAGGAAUGGAACAUCUCUCUUGUCUUCUGCAGGAUUCCAACUGUAAACUGGAGAAACUAAAGCUGCAGUUCUGCAGUAUAACAGAUGAAGGUUUCAGAGCUUUAGCAUCAUUGCUGAGAUCAAACCCAUCAGCCCUCAGAGUGCUCUAUCUGUGGGGCAAUCAGCCUAGACCCUCAACACAGCAGCUGUUCUCUGAAGUGAAGAAACAUCCAAACUCUAAACAUAUAGAAAUACAUGGACCCUAAUGAAUCAAUCCCAUUGUAUUCCACGUGAAAUAUGUUUUUACACUGUGCAUGAAAUAAGUGUCAUGUUGAAGACACUUUAUAUACUGUACUGUAUAGGGCAGAUCUUCAAUGUGCCUGUCUUUACUCAGGAGGAUGUUGCUCCUGUUUCUGUUCUCCAGUUCUGUUGUCCUUUAAUUCUCUCUCCCUCUCACUUGUGUACAGGAUUCAUCACAUCAAUGUAAUGUUUUAAAGUGACUUAUUUAAAUACAAAAUUGUGAGUAGUAUUGUAUAAAGAAUGUAAGCUAGAGUAAUGAAAGCUAAAGUAACAGAUUACUUGUUAUUGUCUUAAACCUGUUUCAAAGCUAAAGUAACAGUUGUUUUUUUUGUUUUGGGAAAUUGAUAAACUUUAAAAAAUCAUAAGAAGUAGAA